AUUGAACGCUAGCGGGAUGCUUUACACAUGCAAGUCGAACGAGUGGCGGACGGGUGAGUAAUAUAUCGGAACGUGCCCAGUAGCGGGGGAUAACUACUCGAAAGAGUGGCUAAUACCGCAUAAUAGUUGAGAGGCCGAUAUCGGAUUAUAUAGUUGGUGGGGUAAAGGCUCACCACGUCAAAGAUCCGCAGCUGGUUUGAGAGGACGACCAGCCGCACAGUGACUGAGACACGGCCCAGACUCCGACGGGAGUCAGCAGUGGGGAAUUUUGGACAAUGGGGGAAACCCUGAUCCAGCCAUCCCGCGUGUAUGAGAAGGCCUUCGGGUUGUAAAGUACUUUUGGCAGGGAAGCGGUAUCUGCAGAAUAAGCGCCGGCUAACUACGUGCCAGCAGCCGCGGUAAUUC
rnacentral:rRNA from 1 species